rnacentral:rRNA from 1 species
UGCCGCGUGUGUGAAGAAGGCCUUCGGNUUGUAAAGCACUUUCAGCGAGGAGGAAAGGGUGUUGUUUAAUACGCAACAUCUGUGACGUUACUCGCAGAAGAAGCACCGGCUAACUUCGUGCCAGCAGCCGCGGUAAUACGAGGGGUGCAAGCGUUAACCGGAAUUACUGGACGUAAAGCGUGCGUAGGUGGUUUGUUAAGCAAGAUGUGAAAGCCCCGGGCUCAACCUGGGAACUGCAUUUUGAACUGGCAGGCUAGAGUAUUGUAGAGGGUAGUGGAAUUUCCAGUGUAGCGGUGAAAUGCGUAGAGAUUGGAAGGAACAUCAGUGGCGAAGGCGGCUACCUGGACAAAUACUGACACUGAGGCACGAAAGCGUGGGGAGCAAACAGGAUUAGAUACCCUGGUAGUCCACGCCGUAAACGAUGUCAACUAGCCGUCUGUGGUCUUGAACCGUGGGUGGCGUAGCUAACGCGCUAAGUUGACCGCCUGGGGAGUACGGCCGCAAGGUUA